rnacentral:ncRNA from 1 species
UAACGAUAAUAGCAAACCCGUGCCGAAAGGCCGGGGGCGCAAAGCUGCGGGGCUAAAGAGACACAGGUCUACACGCCGGACGAGCUGCCGAA